rnacentral:tRNA from 1 species
CGGCAGGAAAGCACACACGGCGGCAGUUGCAACUGUGAUUCGCAACGACCGUGAGGUCCGGGUUCGACUCCCGGCCCCGCCGACCA